UACGGGGGGGGGCAAGCGUUGUUCGGAAUUACUGGGCGUAAAGGGCGCGUAGGCGGCCUGUUAAGUCGGGGGUGAAAUCCUGAGGCUCAACCUCAGAACUGCCUUCGAUACUGGCAAUCUCGAGUCCGGAAGAGGUUGGUGGAACAGCUAGUGUAGAGGUGAAAUUCGUAGAUAUUAGCUAGAACACCAGUGGCGAAGGCGGCCAACUGGUCCGGUACUGACGCUGAGGUGCGAAAGCGUGGGGAGCAAACAGG
rnacentral:rRNA from 1 species